CCUACGGGCGGCUGCAGUGGGGAAUAUUGGACAAUGGGCGAAAGCCUGAUCCAGCCAUGCCGCGUGUGUGAAGAAGGCCUUCGGGUUGUAAAGCACUUUCAGUGGGGAAGAAAGCCUUGGGGCUAAUACCCUCGAGGAAGGACAUCACCCACAGAAGAAGCACCGGCUAACUCCGUGCCAGCAGUCGCGGUAAUACGGAGGGUGCGAGCGUUAAUCGGAAUUACUGGGCGUAAAGCGCGCGUAGGCGGUCUGAUAAGCCGGUUGUGAAAGCCCCGGGCUCAACCUGGGAACGGCAUCCGGAACUGUCAGGCUAGAGUGCAGGAGAGGAAGGUAGAAUUCCCGGUGUAGCGGUGAAAUGCGUAGAGAUCGGGAGGAAUACCAGUGGCGAAGGCGGCCUUCUGGACUGACACUGACGCUGAGGUGCGAAAGCGUGGGUAGCAAACAGGAUUAGAUACCCCAGUAGUC
rnacentral:rRNA from 1 species